CCCGCAGUGGCUGCCGCUUGACGCCGGGGGUCCCUGCAGAGAAGCGCCCGCCCGCCCGCCCGCCUCCAUGUGCGUGUCCGCUGCGUGCUGAGAUCGCGGCGAGCUGCAUUGUGCGGCUUGGUGGUGGAGGAGGCACCGGUGGACGGUGGAGGUCCGGAGACGGAGGAGUCGAAAGUGCGAUUCGUGUGGCGUUCAGACAUCAGUGAAGAUCUUCGUCAUGUGUGUCGGGAGCCAGAGCCCCUUUACAUUAAAGAGGAAGUGGAGGAUGAAGAGCACCCCCACAUCAAAGAAGAAGAGGAAUUGAAGCUCACUUUCAUUAAAAAAGAGGCUGAAGAAGUGCACCGCCACAUCAAACAGAAAGAGGAGUGUAUCGCCAAGUUUCCAUGGACGAGUGUCCCUUUGAAGAGUGAAGAUGAAGGUCGACGUGAGGAGAGCAGAAGCAGCUCACGUCAACACAUGACAACAGAAGGUGAUGGAGACCACUGUGGAGGAUCACAGGCAGACGGCCUCUUAGCUAGAUAGUGACGACAUGACGUCUCACUCUCCUCACACUGAUGAUGAUGAUGAUAAACCGUCUGAAGGUGAUAACAAACGCUGGAAAUGUUCUCAGUGUGGGAAGACCUUUGCUUAUAAGAGCAGUUUGAAACAACACACGAGAACACACACCGGAGAGAAAGCUUUUGCCUGUUCAGAUUGUGGUAAAAGAUUCUCCUAUAAGGGAGACUUGACAAGGCACACAAGAACGCACACUGGAGAAAAACCUUUUGUCUGCUCAGUUUGUGGUCAAAGAUUCUCUGAGAACGGAAAAUUAACAGUACACGCAAGAAGACACACUGGAGAAAAACCGUUUGCUUGCUCAGUUUGUGGUCAAAAAUUAUCUGCAAAGGGCAAAUUAACAAUACACACAAGAACCCACACCGGAGACAAACCUUUUUCCUGCUCAGAUUGUGGUCAGAGAUUCACUCAGAAAGGAACCUUAAAAAUACACAAGAAUGCACACUGGAGAGAAACUUUUUUCCUGCUCAGAUUGCGGUCAGAGAUUCACUCAGAAGGGAGCCUUAAAAUUACACAAAAGAAUCCACACUGGAGAGAAACCUUUUUCCUGCUCAGUUUGUGGUCAAAGAUUCUCUCGUAAGGAUCGCCUGAAGACACACAAGUGUGCUGUUGUCAUUUUGGAGGUUGAAAAAUUCCACCUGACAACGACGAGUGUUCCCUCGUUUAUCGAGAGGGAUAGGUUCCGGAACCCGCUGAUCUCCACUUCUGCCACUGACGUCACACCAAGACAUGUAGGGUGAGGUAAUGAAGGUAAUGAAAAGGGGACUUCCAGUUUCAUUUUCUUGAGCAAAAAACCCAAAGACAACUUGUACGACGUUGUGGAAAAUCUUUGUCCAGAGCGGCAGGAGUCGGAGUCCCCCCACAUUAAAGAGGAAGAGGAGGAUGGAGAGGUUCAACAAAUCAAAGAGGAGGAGGAAGAGUUCGUACACAUUAAAGAGGAAGAGCAGGAGGAAAUCAUCAAGGUUCCUUUGACUGGGGUCCUUUUGAAGAGUGAAUAUCAAGGUCAAAGUGAGGAAAACCGAGGGGUGGCGCCUCCCAGCAGCAGCUCAAGUCGACACAUGACAACAGAAGGUGAUGGAGACCACUGUGGAGAAUCACUAGCAGAGGGACUCUUAGCUCCGCUAUCAGAUAGCGACGAGACAACGUCACACUCUUCUGACUAUGAUGAUGGUGAUGAUAAAGAACAGUCGGAACGUAGUAUGACAUGUCACACUGAUCUCAAAUGCUGGAAAUGUUCUAAGUGUGGAAGAACUUUUGCUUCAAAGAGCAAUUUGAAACAGCACGUAAAAUUACACACUGGAGAGAAGCCUUUUGCCUGUUCCGACUGUGGUAAAAGAUUCACUGUAAAGGGUAAGUUAAUAUCACACUCAAGAACCCACACUGGAGAGAAACCUUUUGCCUGCUCCGUUUGUGGUCAAAGAUUCUCUCAGAAGGGUACCUUAAAAAGUCAUACAAGAACCCACACUGGGGAGAAACCAUUCACCUGCUUAAUUUGUGGUCAAAGAUUCUCUGAGAACGGAACCUUAAAACGUCACAGAAGAACACACACUGGGGAGAAACCUUUUGCCUGUUUAGUUUGUGACCAAAGAUUCUCUGAGAAGGGAACCUUAAAACGUCACACAAGAACCCACACUGGGGAGAAACCUUUUUCCUGCUCAGUUUGUGGCAAAGGAUUCGCUCAGAAGGGAAACUUCAAAAGUCACACAAGAACACACACUCGAAAGGAACCCUUUGUUUGCUCCGUUUGUGGCCUAAGAUUCUCUCAUAAGUAUCUGGCUCAGAACCACAAGUGUGUUGAUGACAAUAGCAGUGAUCAAUGAAGGUUCUGCCUCUCAUCUGAGCAGGCUUCAUAAUUUCAUGCACCAAGGAUGAUUGUAUUCUAAUGUACCUUCUUAAAGGCCUCCAGUGGAAAAGUGUUGAAAAUUAGCACUCAUGCUAAAACACUUGUAGCAAUAUAUCUGCUUUGUCUAAUGUUUUUGUGAUGUGCAUAUCAAAUAGGAAAUCAGCAAUUAAAUGGAAAUACCUUUUGUAAUGUAUAGUAGUGGUCUGAGGGGGUGGGUUCUCCGGGGACGGAAACCACUCAGGCUUUCUAAGUUUCACCUGUGGCUCAAUGUGAAAGCCUGGGAAAAAACACCGCUUGGCAAGAUGUUUGAUUAGAUGGCGACUGGGAAAAUAAAUUAUGAAAAGAGAGGCACAGCAGGUUAGAGUGCAAAAGAAACGAGCAUAUGCAGAGUUUGCAAGGGUGGGGAAACAUUGGAGGAAAAUUAAAAGCACUAAGAAACGAGCAGAACAAAAAAGUGAGGGGUAACUGUUGGAUACAAAAAGAGUCAUAACAUUCAUUGCAGGGGUAAGAAAUGCAAUAAUGGGAAUAUAAUAAAAAACAAUACAGAUUAUAACAAGAGCAGCAGAAAAGCCUCUUGACAUAAAACAGCUAAUAUGGGAGGAGUUGAGGGAUGAUCUCAGUGCUCAGGCCAGCCAAGAGACAUCGAAUUAAGGCUAACAAAAGAUUUGACAUGGUGAUAUUGAUCGAUACAUACUGUAGAUAGAUAGUUACAGUGUGUGUUGCGACUGAAGACAUUUAUUUCAUGAUCCUACUUUUAGUUUCUAAGAGAAAAAAGAAUGAAAAAGACAAGUUACAUUUCGUUUUGCUCUUUGUUUUCCUCCCUGUACGGACAUACUCAUACCCAUAUGCCAGCACAGUCGUUGGUGACAAUGCAUCCUAAAACGUUAGAAGCCAUCCGGCGCAAAACAAAACAAAGAAGAACAAGAAGAAUGUGAGAGCCUGCGGCCGAAGGUGAUGGGGGAAGUAGACGAACAUGAGGUUUGCAAAGACGGGAGGGCGUGUCUGGUAAGAAAAGCGCAAGGACGGUGGGCGGGGCAAGCUGGAAGACGACGACGCUGUAACAGCAAGGUGACGGUUGAGAAUUUACCAGUGCCGUACCCAUGUGCUGUGUUUUGUGUUCAUAUGUGGGGGUGGCAGGGGUGGAUCUUGUAAAUGUCUUGCCAUUUAAUUGUCUCUUUUAAUUUCUGUAAUCCACUUUGUGUUGCAUUUUAAUAUAUGAGCAGUGCUAUAUGGAUAAACUUGAUUUGAUUUGAGGGCCACACCAACAUGCAAACAUCACUUCUGCUCAUAAAGAAUUCAGUGUCUUUUUGUAAUGCUGUAAAUUGUAUUUUGAUCAUCUGCUACCUGUGUAGUUAUGGUAUAUGUUAUGUUAGGAGAGGUAAUUUAAAAUAUAAAUAAAAUAAAUGUAUCUUUUUAAGCCCGUGUUAUGAAUAUUGUCUUGGCGGCCUGUGGCAACGGGCAUAUGGUCCGGGUGCAGACGGCUCCAGCUUAUUAGGUCAUGAUGGUAUCAUUUUUAACCUGUAUGUGUAUGACUGUCUGUGUCCUUGUAGUUGUCAAGCAGCAGGUGGGAUUGUUCUAAUUUCCUAUUUUAAUGAAUAUCAUGCACUUUGAGUUACUGUUACGCGUAU